CCUCUUAUUUAUUCCAUUAUACUGGUAUCUUUUUGUUUACCUAGGUGUUUAGGUUUGUGUGUUCUCAACAUCGUUCUAAGGUAUCAAUUUAUAUUUGAUUUCUGCAUUGUUGGAACUACGAUUUCUACGGCGGUUCAUAUCAACCAAUACUAAAACAAAAUUGCAGGGAAAACAAUAGGGUAGCUAUGCAGCCAUUCUUAGUGAAAGAUUUGUUGCCUGGAGGGUUUCAACGAAAACCAUUGUGUGUCCCCCAAAUCUGGGAGUAUAGGGACCAAGCGACCUGGCAAAAACUGCUCCACUUGAACCUUAUUAUUACUAAUGAGAGGUACCUUCAAAUAUUCAGAUACUUCACUCAGUUAUUAUCACUCAUAAACAUACUAUUUAGACUUAGCUAUAGGGAUUCGUCUUAGCCUGUGUCAAUGUCUACUCCAUUAUCGAAGAAAAAUAAUUGAACACUUAUGUUUCUUUGCUGACAAAACACACACUGUUUUCCUGUAAUGUAACCAAGAAAUGCUAGGUUUCCAUCUAUUGUAUAGUUACUUGCUAACAAAGUUAUUUGUUAUCUGCACGAAAUAUACACUCAGAUUUAACUGAUGUUUCAGGGCAACACAAUGGAAGGCUGUGUGCGAUCCAAUCAAAUAUACAACUUCAGAGAACGACUAAAUUAAAGGAAGGUACUGCAAGGUGUUAGUGAUUUUGUACAUAGAGGCCUACAAAGUAUGUCUUGAAUUGUUGAUGCAAAUCGCUAUCUCAAAAGAAGCAAUUUUUGCAUCUACUGGAAUGAUAUAUUGGCCUCAUAUCAGGACCUCAGAAGCAAGAAAAAAGAUCAGCUUAUGUCUGCCAUAUCAUCUUUAAUGGUAAUUUAUAGAACAAGGUUCGCCAGGUAUUGGUGAUGUUCUAUGUCCAUUGCUGCACAGAUGCUGAGCAUGUCAUCGGUGAUUUUUCAUGAUAACUUGAAGAGCAAAUCAAAAACUGUGGCUGGACCAUAUUCACUGAAACAGCUCUAUUUUUCAUUUACCUUUCUCAUAAUGUAUUUCUUUCGUUAUACUGCAAGAAACUUGCUACUAAGCUUCCUUCAAUAUCAAUGUUUCCACCAAUAUUAAAUGUGCAUUGACUCAUAUGAAUACGGGCAAACAUUACAUGAUGUUAAUCUUGACAAGUUUCUAAAUUUUGUUUGUUAUUCGCAGGAAGUGUGUUCGAUAAAGGGGAAGUUCCUGCUGGGUUUCCUGAUUUGGUUGAUAUGCGUCUCCUUCUCACAAACAUGACGUUCCUUGGUUGAUGUUAGUUUGGUUCAAAUAUUUUUCAGACUGUGUACCACAUGCUAUUUCUCCCCGUGGAUCGUUUUGGUGGCGAGACAUGUGCAGUUUGUCUAAUAUUUUCAGAGGAAUCAAGCAUUGUUCAUUCAAGGCUGGAGACACAGUAUUAUUAUGGAAAUACGUCUGUACUGCAAAUGAUAUCCUGCACCAUCAAUAACCUCAUUUAUUCUCCUAUUCAGAUCUAAAAGAUGUUAGUAUUGCAGAGUACUUGGAGAAGAAUGACCUAGCCAUCCACUUUGUUUUGCCGUUGUCUCUGGAAGCUCAUGAGGAGUUGCAUAUCUUGGACGAGUAUGUCAAUAAUAUUUAGAGUGAGGUGUUGCAGCUAGAUGAAUGGAGUUAUGCGUGGGGAGCUAAGGAUUUCAGAGCACAUAAAUACUACAGGUUUGUGUUCAGAAAUAUCUGUCGUGUUCCUUUUCUUCCUAAGGUUUGGAAAACAAAAUGUAUGAUGUGUCCCAAAGUUUUCGCCUGGCUUCUGACUAUGGAUAGAAUCAAUGCUCCAGACAUGUUGGUUUGGAGAAAUUGUCCUAUUCCCAAUGUUAAUUUUGUCAGGGAGACAAGUAACCAUCUGUUUUUCACUUGCCAUUUUAGUGCAGUGUCCGCUUUGGGGAUUGUUUGGGACACGAGCCUUGAUCUGAGUAGUAGAAUCUCCACAACUGCACGAUUAUGGAAUAAGCUACUGUUUGAUGUAUAUCCUUCGUGCUUCGAACAUUUGGAAACAAAGGAACAGGAGGCAUUUUCAUAGUAUUCAGAGUAUUCAGAGUUGGCUUGGCUUACUAAGGUAGGAGACAGGGUUAAACCCGAGUUUAGAGAUCAAAUAAAAACUAUUGUAAGUGAGUUGAUAGUUUGAGAUACUUACUGAGUUGCAACAUACAUUUAUUUUUUACCUACCUCAUAUGACUGUAAUAUGAGGUACCAUUUUCUGCUUACUAAUUUUAUUGUGCUCUCCAUUGUUUUGUUCAGACACUACCUUAUUUA